UACGUAGGGUGCGAGCGUUGUCCGGAAUUAUUGGGCGUAAAGGGCUCGUAGGCGGUUUGUCGCGUCGGGAGUGAAAACCCAGGGCUUAACCCUGGGCUGGCUUCCGAUACGGGCAGACUAGAGGUAUGCAGGGGAGAACGGAAUUCCUGGUGUAGCGGUGAAAUGCGCAGAUAUCAGGAGGAACACCGAUGGCGAAGGCAGGUCACUGGGCCGCAACUGACGCUGAGGAGCGAAAGCAUGGGGAGCGAACAGG
rnacentral:rRNA from 1 species